rnacentral:snRNA from 1 species
GCUAUCCUUGCUUUGGCAGCAUAAACUAAAAUUAAAACAAUACAGAGAAGAUUAGCAUGGCCCCUGUGCAAGGAUGACAUGCAAAUUUGUGAAGUGUUCCAUAUUUUU